rnacentral:rRNA from 1 species
UACGUAGGGGGCAAGCGUUGUCCGGAUUUAUUGGGCGUAAAGAGCGUGUAGGCGGCCAGGUAGGUCUGCUGUGAAAACUCGAGGCUUAACCUCGAGCUGUCGGCGGAAACCAUCUGGCUAGAGUCCGGAAGAGGAGAAUGGAAUUCCCGGUGUAGCGGUGAAAUGCGCAGAUAUCGGGAAGAACACCCGUGGCGAAGGCGGCGUCCUGGACCAACACUGACACUGAUGAGCGAAAGCCAGGGGAGCAAACGGG